GUUGAGCAGGGGCACUUGUCGGUUGGACUCGUAGGACGUGGCGUCCGAGUGCACCAUCUCCUGGAUCUGAGGAGUGAGGGGAUGUCUAAGGGGCCCACGGUGACUGAUGGCACACAGCUGCAGGGACACGGGGACAGGGCACCGUCCACCAGAAGAAGGCUGCUCAGCCUUGAACAAUUCAGGAGGAAAAUGAAACACACACACAUGGCUAACGAGAGGCGCUGAGUGCUAAGUUGGACAAGUGCAUGUUAUUUAUGCAACAGAGCAGAACAAGUCCGGGAGUGCAAUUAUGGAUAUGGGACACGUGCUGUAAAUGCUUAUGAAAAUUCAUAGGAAAAAAGGGAAACCUGAGCCCUGGCCCACAGCAUCCAUGAAGAAGCCUCUUGCUGACAGCAACCCAACCACACCAGCAUUUUUCCUGGGACACCCCAAAGCCUCCUCCCAUACAGUUGCCUGUAUCUGUACAUCAUUAAAAAGAGACAUUUUUACUUAUAACCUUUGCUAUAAAUAUAAACUUACAAACUUUACUGGUUCUGCCCCCAGUCCUCCCUC